AGUGAACGCUGGCGGUAGGCCUAACACAUGCAAGUCGAACGGCAGCACAGUAAGAGCUUGCUCUUACGGGUGGCGAGUGGCGGACGGGUGAGGAAUACAUCGGAAUCUACUUUUUCGUGGGGGAUAACGUAGGGAAACUUACGCUAAUACCGCAUACGACCUACGGGUGAAAGCAGGGGAUCUUCGGACCUUGCGCGAUUGAAUGAGCCGAUGUCGGAUUAGCUAGUUGGCGGGGUAAAGGCCCACCAAGGCGACGAUCCGUAGCUGGUCUGAGAGGAUGAUCAGCCACACUGGAACUGAGACACGGUCCAGACUCCUACGGGAGGCAGCAGUGGGGAAUAUUGGACAGUGGGCGCAAGCCUGAUCCAGCCAUACCGCGUGGGUGAAGAAGGCCUUCGGGUUGUAAAGCCCUUUUGUUGGGAAAGAAAAGCAGCAGGUUAAUACCCCGCUGUUCCGACGGUACCCAAAGAAUAAGCACCGGCUAACGUCGUG
rnacentral:rRNA from 1 species